rnacentral:rRNA from 1 species
UACGUAGGUGCGAGCGUUGUCCGGAAUUACUGGGCGUAAAGAGCUCGUAGGUGGUUUGUCGCGUUGUUCGUGAAAUCUCACGGCUUAACUGUGAGCGUGCGGGCGAUACGGGCAGACUGGAGUACUGCAGGGGAGACUGGAAUUCCUGGUGUAGCGGUGGAAUGCGCAGAUAUCAGGAGGAACACCGGUGGCGAAGGCGGGUCUCUGGGCAGUAACUGACGCUGAGAAGCGAAAGCGUUGGGGAGCGAACAGG